GACGAAGGGGGCUAGCGUUGUUCGGAAUUACUGGGCGUAAAGCGCGCGUAGGCGGCUCUUCAAGUCAGGCGUGAAAGCCCCGGGCUUAACCCGGGAAUAGCGCUCGAUACUGUUGGGCUUGAGUCCGGGAGAGGAUAGUGGAAUUCCCAGUGUAGAGGUGAAAUUCGUAGAUAUUGGGAAGAACACCAGUGGCGAAGGCGGCUAUCUGGACCGGAACUGACGCUGAGGCGCGAAAGCGUGGGGAGCAAACAGG
rnacentral:rRNA from 1 species